rnacentral:lncRNA from 1 species
AAAAUCUGUGAAAGAGCUCCUCUUGGGUUGAAAGGUGAAAGGCAUGGAUAAGGGGCGGAUGAAGAUGUGGAAUAUGGCCCCUCUUUGUUUGUUUUGGAGGAUGUGGUGAGAAAAAAAUAGAAGGAUCUUUGAUGGGGUGGCGCUUAAUGACUUAAGCUAAAAUAAUUCCUUAUAAGGUCACUUAUGGAUUGCUUUGGAAUCAUGUUGGGGAGGGAUUGUGCUUCUCUAUUGGACUUUAUUGAUGAUCUAAAUUGUUUAUAGUGGUUUUUAGUUUGUUUUUGUAGUCUGUACCACUUUUUUUUUUUUGGCCUAGUUGGCACUUCUUGUGUACUCCCUGCAUACAUAGGAUGCACCAACUUGUUUUUGAUUGUGAAAACUUGGACCAAACAAUUAAAAUUCUUUCUUAUAUCUUUUUUGGGACCAAGUUAGAUUGUAUAUAUGGGGGAUGGUUUUUUGUCAUUGUUAGACUUUGUGGAUUAGUUAAGCUCUUUGUAGGUACGGUUGCUGGUUUUUGUGUUUUCACGCUUCUUUUUUGGUCCUUUGUUUACCUUGUAUAUGUUGUGAAUACCUCGUUUCUUAUUAAUGCAGUCCUUAUUUACCUAUUAAAAGGGAAAGAAAAGAAAAUGUUCUCUUUUUUUUUUUGUUUUAUUUUUAUUCUUUGUACAUCUUGUUAGUUGUCAGACCAUAAAAUGGCUGAAAUUAUGGGAUGCAUCCUAUGAAAUGCAUUUCUUGUGUCAAUAUGCAUAUCAAUAAGCAAUAAAUUCAUAUUUCUUAAUGUAGAUGCUCCUGAUUUUAUUUGGUUUCAUUUUGGUGGCUUUGAAGACAUCUUAUAUUGAUCUGCCUUAAUCACCAUUUAAACAAAGAGCUGUCUAGUUUAUACUCCGUGAAUUCAACUAUACAUCUAUCACCCUUGUGUUUUGAUGAUUGUUAGUCAUCCUUUCCAUUGGUGUAAUUCUGUAAUGAAAUGGAUUCUGGGUCAUACAGCAAAGUCAAUUGUAUCUAUAAAUUCUAAAUUACUCUUGAAUGCUUGUUUAUCCUCAGUCAUACAGUCCUUUUAAUUCAUUUGUACAGGGCAAUAAUCUGUUCCAAUUGCUGUAUGUAUAAUAUAUACAUUCUCAAUAUACACUAAAUUAUGAGUUGUAUGCAAAGAGCUUUUCGAAUGAUAGUGGUGAUAACUUGUUGAUUAACACACACCCUUGCCUGACAACAGAUUGGAUGGCCAUUGUACCGUGUGGAACUACCUGGCCCGCUCAAUGGGGCAUUCGUCCUCAGUUUAUGCUAAGAUCUUCAAUCACAAACAAGCUUCCAAGAUCCAAUUAUGGGUGAGCAUUCCAAUUCAACUGUUCACUAGUUAGAAGUGUAACAAAAUGCUAGUUUGUUACAACAGGAUAGGCAUUUGCUGGCUUGAGUUUUAUAAGACAUGGUUUGAUGUGCUGUGCCAUAUUUUUUGCAUUGUGAUUAUGCUGCAAGCAGGUCGGAAUGUCUGAGCCACUAUUAUUUAUCAAAAAAAAAAAAAAAAAUGUCUGAGCCACUAUUAACUACUCCUCAGAUAGAAAUGCUCGCUCACUUUCUUCUGUGAUUGAAGACGCCACAUUCUGUCAGCAUACCAUUAAUGAGUCUGCCACUUCUGAAAUCAGAAUACAUACAAUCUAGGGAAUCUAUUCUGUCUUUUUAGGUUCAUUGUGUUAUGAGUAUGGUCUGAAAUAAUUACAAACUUCCUUAAUGUAAGUCAAAUAGAUUCUACCUCGGAAUCAAUUGAAUUGCAACCCCUUAGGACAUUUUUGGUUCCUAGAAGCCUAUACACAAUGAUUUCUUCACUUUAAUUUCCAUAAUCCAAUAAUCUAAGUUUACC